rnacentral:rRNA from 1 species
AUCGAUANUCCGCGUUAAUUUUACUUAAAUUUAAAAUUUAUAUACCGCCAUAUUAAGAAUUAAUUUAAAAAUAUUCCUCUUAAAAAUAAAUAAAAAAUUAGGUCAAGGUGUAAUUUACAUUAAAGAAUAAGAUAGAUUACACUAAAUACAAUUUAAAGAUUAUAAAUAAAUAUAUAUAUAUAAAUAAGAAUUUAAUAGUAAUAUUUAAACAAUAUUAUAAUAUGACAUAAAUAAUAAAUGUGUACACAUCGCCC